AGGACAAGCCCAGGAAAUCCGACCGGCGCCAAGAACAGCCAAGUCCUGGCGCCUCCCAGCCUGGACUCAGGGGAGUCCAGCUGCAGGGCUUCAGAGCGAGAUGAAUCACGCUGAACGCUGUGGUUAUGGUCAGACCUCCAAUGGGGGGGGGGGUUUCUACUGCUUUGCAGAUGUGAGAAUGAAGGCACAGGGGGAGGAGGGCACCGCACACAAACGUUGCAAGAUAGGGGCAGGAUCAGGAAUGCCGCCCAGAAUUCCCAGAUCCCAGCCCCUGCCGGUAUUAGGCUCUGGAGUUGUUUCCUUCCCUUCCCUUUGGUCCUCCCCAAGCUCUCCGCCUGCUGGUUGCAGCUCUCAUCCAUGAUUCCCUUCUCUCGCACAUUCCUGGUAUGAAGCAGGCGUGUUUGUCAAGUGUGGCUUUGGGGCCAGAUCCAGCAUUCCAGACCGGGGUGAGCUGAGGUAAACGAGGAACAGCCCCCUGCCCACCCACCCCUCCUGGCCUCCUAGCUUCAAGUGCUGUAGCUUUGCUCUGUCUUCUUCAGGCAAGGCUCGGAGAUGGAAGAGUGGUGCAAACUCUGGCAGGCAAUUAGGGAGCCACAGACUUCACAACGUCAAUAUGUUGCUGCAGGCAAUGUGUACGUGACUGCACUCUACUUAGCCCCCUCCAACUCUUUUUUCCUCCCCCCCCCCCCACACUCUGGAAGUCACUUUCAGAACUCUUUAGCAGGGAGUCAAGACACCUUCCCAUCACUUUUUAGAUAACUUUGGCAAAUCAGGGGGCUACCAAAGCAACACUGAUUAUUAGUCAAGGUUGGAGUAUUUGCACUGAGCUUCUGGAAGAUGUGGGAGUUCAAUACAGCAGAUAGCACGAAGGUCUUAAGCUUUUGAUACCCUUAAAACAAGGACACAAUGACAGAUUUCCACGAGGAUCCAAGAAACAGUUCACUUCGCAAAUGGGCAACUUUGACCUCUCAUCACAACGAGCAUAAAGGAACCGUAAGUUAUAUGUGCGGACUGCCUUCCUGAAAAGGUAAAUGAUAAGAAGAAUGGUAUUGCCUCCAUUGGAUACAAAGAGCCCAGCUAAUUUUCCCAUACUGGGUCUGCACCAGAGGGAGAGACCCUUGGGAUAAGGAUUUCUUCUCUUCUGCUUGCUAGAGGUGGAAGCCUUCACAAGUUAAAUACAAUGAAAACAUACAAUUGUAAGAUCAGAUCAGGGCAGAGGGGUUUUUGCUUCCUCCGAGUUUCAAGGGCCUUCCUCCUCUCAGGGCUGCAGGCCCUUCACACCACCCAUCCUGCCCCAAAGCGGUCCCUGAUCAAUUGCCUUCAGUCCCCGGAAGGGGAGAAGUAAGGAGGUUUCCUCAUCCAGGAUGAUCAGAAGUUCCACCCUCCCGAUGGAUCUGAAGCCCUGAAUGUAACAAAUGCCCCCAAACACUGCCACCAUCAGAGAGGACAGUAUGAAAGGAAGGGGGGAAAAAACAGCCCUGCUAUCAUUGGUCAAGACACCUUUGAUGUCAUAAUCAAAGUCAGCAGGUAAAUUUGGUUAGAACAUUCUCAGCUUGGGCUCUUUUUACAGACAAUUCCUGUCUCUGUGCAAUGAACGUCGAGCCUUUGCUCAUGUUUCAGAAGACCAGGAGAUCCAUCCCCAAAUCACCCCAAUUUUCAGGACCCCAACAGCAAUGUUGUUGCAGAAUUUUCGCUUUCUGCCUAGCGCAUUCAUUCUUCUUGGGAUUUUUUUUUUUUAACAAGGUCCUCCGAUUGUGGGAAGCAGAGGAGGAGGAGGUGCAAAGGGAAGAAGCUGGAGCUUUCCCAAGUUAUUUCUCCGCUCCGGGGCAUGUGCAGGACAAGUCCAGAUGUACAUAUGUUUGGCUGUGCGUGAAGAGGCUGUCCUCCCCAACCUUCCCUUGCAAAGCGCUGCUGAAGUCACGGAGUCUGCCCUACCCACAGGGACACUCGGGGUGGAGUACUUCUAUUGCAAAACUGCUCAGCUAUUCAGCAGGCCUGGCUCACAGCUCAAGAGAGGCCUUAGGCUGGGAUCAGAAGGGGCUUUUAAGGAAGAAAAGCAGAAUCAGAAUGGAUACGAAACUCAGAGGUUGGCCAGGGCAUGUGUCCUGCUCCACGUUAAAAAAUAAAAGCAGAACGGUUUUUGCCUUCUUUUUAAUAUA